AGCGGCGAACGGGUGAGUAACACGUAGGUGAUCUGCCCAUCAGACGGGGACAACGAUUGGAAACGAUCGCUAAUACCGGAUAGGACGAAAGUUUAAAGGUGCUUCUGGCACCGCUGAUGGAUGAGCCUGCGGCGCAUUAGCUAGUUGGUAGGGUAAAGGCCUACCAAGGCGACGAUGCGUAGCCGACCUGAGAGGGUGAACGGCCACACUGGGACUGAGACACGGCCCAGACUCCUACGGGAGGCAGCAGUAGGGAAUCUUCGGCAAUGGGCGAAAGCCUGACCGAGCAACGCCGCGUGAAUGAUGAAGGCCUUCGGGUUGUAAAAUUCUGUUAUAAGGGAAGAACGACUUUAGUAGGAAAUGGCUAGAGUGUGACGGUACCUUAUGAGAAAGCUACGGCUAACUACGUGCCAGCAGCCGCGGUAAUACGUAGGUGGCGAGCGUUAUCCGGAAUUAUUGGGCGUAAAGGGCGCGCAGGUGGUUGAUUAAGUCUGAUGUGAAAGCCCACGGCUUAACCGUGGAGGGUCAUUGGAAACCGGUCGACUUGAGUGCAGAAGAGGGAAGUGGAAUUCCAUGUGUAGCGGUGAAAUGCGUAGAGAUAUGGAGGAACACCAGUGGCGAAAGCGGCUUCCUGGUCUGUAACUGACACUGAGCGCGAAAGCGUGGGAGCAAACAGAUUAGAUACCCUGGUAGUUCACGCGUAACGAUGAGUGCUAAGUGU
rnacentral:rRNA from 1 species